rnacentral:tRNA from 1 species
UCCGGCGUGGUCUAGUGGCUAGGAUAUUUGGCUUUCACCCAGAAAGGCCGGGUUCGAUUCCCGGCGUCGAAA